UUUGUCAUUGGUGUAGACAAAAACAAUUUCUGCACAACUCAUGAAUACACGGCAGAAAAUAAGCAGCAUAAGCUCACCCUCAAAGAGAUCAGCUCCCCCAAAACACAAAACCUGCACCAGCAAAUCUGCACCAGCAAUAUGAAAAUCUGCACCAACAAAACACAAAGUCCUUCAAAGAAAUGCACCAGCAGACUGACAAAGAACUCCCCCUCAAAAGGAAAUCUGCUCCCCCUCAAAAACCAUAGAAAAGCAUAAAUGAAAUGCUAUCGUCAGUCGCACAGCCAAAAGCACAGACCAUAAGCACAGACAAUAUAUAUACUCCCCCUUUUUGUCACAACAAUGACAAA
rnacentral:lncRNA from 1 species